UACGGGGGGGGGUAAGCGUUGUUCGGAAUUACUGGGCGUAAAGGGCUCGUAGGCGGCCAACUAAGUCGGACGUGAAAUCCCUCAGCUUAACUGGGGAACUGCGUCCGAUACUGGAUGGCUUGGAUUUGGGAGAGGGAUGCGGAAUUCCAGGUGUAGCGGUGAAAUGCGUAGAUAUCUGGAGGAAUACCGGUGGCGAAGGCGGCAUCCUGGACCGACAUUGACGCUGAGGAGCGAAAGCUAGGGGAGCAAACGGG
rnacentral:rRNA from 1 species